rnacentral:rRNA from 1 species
GAUGAACGCUGGCGGCGUGCCUAAUACAUGCAAGUCGAGCGAACGGACGAGAAGCUUGCUUCUCUGAUGUUAGCGGCGGACGGGUGAGUAACACGUGGAUAACCUACCUAUAAGACUGGGAUAACUUCGGGAAACCGGAGCUAAUACCGGAUGAUAUUUUGAACCGCAUGGUUCAAAAGUGAAAGACGGUCUUGCUGUCACUUAUAGAUGGAUCCGCGCUGCAUUAGCUAGUUGGUAAGGUAACGGCUUACCAAGGCAAAGAUGCAUAGCCGACCUGAGAGGGUGAUCGGCCACACUGGAACUGAGACACGGUCCAGACUCCUACGGGAGGCAGCAGUAGGGAAUCUUCCGCAAUGGGCGAAAGCCUGACGGAGCAACGCCGCGUGAGUGAUGAAGGUCUUCGGAUCGUAAAACUCUGUUAUUAGGGAAGAACAUAUGUGUAAGUAACUGUGCACAUCUUGACGGUACCUAAUCAGAAAGCCACGGCUAACUACGUG